rnacentral:lncRNA from 1 species
CACUUACAAAAACAUAAUAUUCUAUGGCUACUAGUUUUCUUUCAUUUCGAUUUGCAGGAGUUGAAGAAAAAGCUUCGCGAAAAGGUCUUGCAAUACAACACCAUAGUGGAAGGAGAUCCGAUUGACGAGGAAUUGGCUUGCAGUCUGACAGAGGGAUACAUCCUACCAUGGGAGAGACACAAAGAUGGCAACACGUUCAGGUUGAAGAGAUCUAUCUUCGACCAGGUAAUGCUGCUGAAACGCUUGGAGGAGGAGCAGAGCAUCCUGGUAAAGGAGAUGUCUCAGCACAUCAAGUACCUUCUGAAGCAAGUGCAAGAAGUCGAGUCACUUAGAGGACAGACUUUGGAGCGCAUCAAAACCAGCAGUAUGUACAAUAUCUUUAGAUUUUAGUGUCAUGAAUUAAUUUAUAAUAAAUAGAUAUAUAAAUAAAGAUAAUAAAGAUAUAGAUAUAUAUCUCCAGGGAGCUCUAUACAUUGAGUUGUGAUCAGACACUAAGCUGACCAGCUAUUUGGCACCAGUGUGCACAGGGCCGGCGAUUGCUAUAGGCGAACUAGGCGGUUGCCUAGGGCGACAAAUAUGUUGGGGGCGCGGGCACCCUCUAGGGUCGCCGUUACGUUACGUUACGUUACGUUAGGCAAGUGCGCAGUUGAUGAAGAAAAUGAAGCAGGGCACCAGUGAAACCCUAACCCUAACAGACUACUGAGACCAGGGAUACUCAGCCUGAAGCAGGGGCGUAGUUUAUGGGGGGGAUGGGGCGAGGUAACCCCCCCCCAAUAUUCAAAUCCAUCAGUUACAACCCCCCCAAUAUUUCAACAUGAAAAUCACAGUAGAUCAAAUGAAAAAUAUAUAGAAUUCAUUUAUUUUGUAACAAUAAUUUUGUUCCUAAUCAAAUAUGAGUUUGUCAUAAUAAAUCAGACAAAAAAUACUCCCCCUCCAUUGAACCGAUUGGUAACGCCCAACCAAUGAGUCGCACUUUCACCAAAACAACGCGAGUGGUGUUUGAAUGGGAGAGCACACGGGUAACGUUAGCGCCAAAAAUGAAGAGAAGCGCAGCACAGCGGUUAACUGCUGGUCAGAGAGCGAUGCAAAAUAAAUAAAUAAAGCAUGUACUGAAAAUGAGGUAUGAGAAUAUUGUGUAAUAGCUAAGUACACACCACAUAUAUUUUAGCUAGCUAAUCCAUUGCAAUGUAUUUAGCUAUAACUAUCAGUAUAACAAGUUACGAAAGCAGCAGUCUGUUUUGCUAGUUUAUUUUUCAAUAGUGUCUGUAAUUAUCAAUGACAAAAGUAUUCACAUCGGUGUUUGUUUCCUUCCUAAAUUAAUCUGACUUUUGAACGAAUUGGAUGAAUGAACGAUUUGAGUGGCUAACUCAUUAAAACAGUGAAACGCUUUCGCCUACUGGCGGUUUCAAUACUUAAUUUCUUUAGAUAAUCUCUACUAUGUAAGAAUUUUAUGAAUGAUGAUUAUACACAAAUUCCAUAACGUUAUGAGGUGUAUAAUCUCUUAACAUGUUUUUAUAACAGAUUCGAGGUAAAUAUAGCAGCAGGGUAGAAAAGUCAGCAGAGGGAGAGGAGGAGCAGGUGAUCAGGUGAAGAAGAUGCCAUUCAAUCAAUAAAAUAAAACAGGAAACCGUAUAGACAGUUCUUCAAGAGCCGACGUUACGAAUUUGUAAUUCAAGUUAAGACUAUGUAAGAUAGAUAGAUAGAUAGAUAGAUAGAUAGAUAGAUAGAUAGAUAGAUAGAUAGAUAGAUAGAUAGAUAGAUAGAUAGAUAGAUAGAUAGGAAGAAAUAAAUUAUCCAAUAACAAUACACAAUAAAAAAAAAAAUGUGAAAAAAAAAAAAAUAGACAGCAUACAACGUUCAACCCCCCCAAUUGAACGUUGAGUGUGCACAAUGUUAAAGUUGUAAAUAUAAUGACUAAAAAGUAAUGUUGGAGUUGCAAAUUCAGCAUUGUAAAAAGCAAAAAUAGUUACAAAUGUCAUGUACUGUCAUCUUUCUCUUUCUAUUUUUUUUCCCACAAUUCCUCUACAGGUUUCAGUGACCUGACAGAGGACGCUACACAUGGGCUCAACAGUGUCCUCAGUCGGAGGGGUCACUCACCUAGAAGUCAACACCAACAGGCUGUUAAAGCAUACAGCAGUAUAGCCACUAUGGAAUGUGAUUUUCUUUCCAUACAGGAGGACAUUGAGGAGUGGGAUGACAAUGGCUUCACCAGCCCUGAAUCUGAGGAAGAAGACACCUAAAGACUGCUGCCAAACAACACAGAGGAACUGGAGAUUUGUACAAAAAAAAUCUUGCCUUUGUUUUUAAAUAGCUGUACCAAAGUAUCUACAGGAACGUUUGUGUAGAGUCUGUAUUUUUAUGAAAGGAAAAAAAAAAUAGAAAAACAUUGUUUUAUUUAUCUCUUCUAACAUUUGAGCUUGCUGGUUUCAGACCAAAACUGCUUAUUGCUGCUUUAAAUAAUUAAUUGUCAUCUUUGCAUGGAAAAAUCUAAUGAAGAUUCAAUGGCAGUCUGUGUGUAAUUGUAACAAGUAUAAUACUAUGUCUUUUUUUUAUUCCAUUAAUAUUAUUUGGAUUUUAUAUAU